rnacentral:rRNA from 1 species
AUACGUAGGGGGCUAGCGUUGUCCGGAUUUAUUGGGCGUAAAGAGCGUGUAGGCGGCCAGGUAGGUUUGCUGUGAAAACUCGAGGCUUAACCUCGAGACGUCGGCGGAAACCAUCUGGCUAGAGUCCGGAAGAGGAGAGUGGAAUUCCUGGUGUAGCGGUGACAUGCGCAGAUAUCAGGAAGAACACCCGUGGCGAAGGCGGCUCUCUGGGACGGUACUGACGCUGAGACGCGAAAGCGGGGGGAGCGGACAGGAUUAGAUCCCCUGGUAGUCCACGCCGUAAACGAUGGGUGCUAGGUGUGGGCGGUGUCGACUCCGUCCGUGCCGAAGCUAACGCAUUAAGCACCCCGCCUGGGGAGUACGGCCGCAAGGCUAAAACUCAAAUGAAUUGACGGGG